AUUGAACGCUGGCGGCAGGCCUAACACAUGCAAGUCGAACGAGUGGCGGACGGGUGAGUAAGGUCUGGGAAAAGGCCUGAAGGAGGGGGAUAACUACUGGAAACGGUAGAUAAUACAGCAUAGAAUCGGAUGGGACCAGAUGGGAUUAGCUAGUAGGGGGGGUAAAGGCUCACCUAGGCGACGAUCCCGAGCUGGUCGGAGAGGAUGAACAUCCCCACUGGAACUGAGACACGGUCCAGACUCCUACGUGAGGCAGCAGUGGGGAAUAUUGCACAAUGGGCGCAAGCCUGAUGCAGCCAUGCCGCGUGUAUGAAGAAGUCCUUCGGGUUGUAAAGUACUUUCAGCGGGGAGGCGUUACCCGCAGCAGAAGCACCGGCUAACUCCGUGCCAGCAGCCGCGGUAAUAC
rnacentral:rRNA from 1 species